AUUGAACGCUGGCGGCAUGCUUUACACAUGCAAGUCGAACGGCAGCGCGGGCUUCGGCCUGGGGGGGGGGGGGGAAGGGGGGGGUAAUACAUGGAAACGGGCCAGGUGGGGGGGGAAAGCUCGGCGAAAGCGGGAUUAAUACCGCAAACGACCUGGGGGGAAAAGGGGGGGAUCUUGGGCCCUCGGGCUAUUGAGGGGGCCGAUGGCAGAUUAGCUAGUUGGUGGGGUAAAGGCCUACCAAGGCGACGAUCUGUAGCUGGUCUGAGAGGACGACUAGCCACACUGGGACUGAGACACGGCCCAGACUCCUACGGGAGGCAGCAGUGGGGAAUUUUGGACAAUGGGCGAAAGCCUGAUCCAGCAAUGCCGCGUGUGUGAUGAAGGCCUUCGGGUUGUAAAGCACUUUUGGCGGGAACGAAAAGGACUGUGCCAAUACCACGGUUCGAUGACGGUACCCGCAGAAUAAGCACCGGCUAACUACGUG
rnacentral:rRNA from 1 species